GGCUCAGAUUGAACGCUGGCGGCAGGCCUAACACAUGCAAGUCGAACGGUAACAGGAAKCAGCUUGCUGMUUCGCUGACGAGUGGCGGACGGGUGAGUAAUGUCUGGGAAACUGCCUGAUGGAGGGGGAUAACUACUGGAAACGGUAGCUAAUACCGCAUAAUGUCGCAAGACCAAAGAGGGGGACCUUCGGGCCUCUUGCCAUCGGAUGUGCCCAGAUGGGAUUAGCUUGUUGGUGRGGUAACGGCUCACCAAGGCGACGAUCCCUAGCUGGUCUGAGAGGAUGACCAGCCACACUGGAACUGAGACACGGUCCAGACUCCUACGGGAGGCAGCAGUGGGGAAUAUUGCACAAUGGGCGCAAGCCUGAUGCAGCCAUGCCGCGUGUAUGAAGAAGGCCUUCGGGUUGUAAAGUACUUUCAGCGGGGAGGAAGGGAGUAAAGUUAAUACCUUUGCUCAUUGACGUUACCCGCAGAAGAAGCACCGGCUAACUCCGUGCCAGCAGCCGCGGUAAUACGGAGGGUGCAAGCGUUAAUCGGAAUUACUGGGCGUAAAGCGCACGCAGGCGGUUUGUUAAGUCAGAUGUGAAAUCCCCGGGCUCAACCUGGGAACUGCAUCUGAUACUGGCAAGCUUGAGUCUCGUAGAGGGGGGUAGAAUUCYAGGUGUAGCGGUGAAAUGCGUAGAGAUCUGGAGGAAUACCGGUGGCGAAGGCGGCCCCCUGGACGAAGACUGACGCUCAGGUGCGAAAGCGUGGGGAGCAAACAGGAUUAGAUACCCUGGUAGUCCACGCCGUAAACGAUGUCGACUUGGAGGUUGUGCCCUUGAGGCGUGGCUUCCGGAGCUAACGCGUUAAGUCGACCGCCUGGGGAGUACGGCCGCAAGGUUAAAACUCAAAUGAAUUGACGGGGGCCCGCACAAGCGGUGGAGCAUGUGGUUUAAUUCGAUGCAACGCGAAGAACCUUACCUGGUCUUGACAUCCACGGAAGUUUUCAGAGAUGAGAAUGUGCCUUCGGGAACCGUGAGACAGGUGCUGCAUGGCUGUCGUCAGCUCGUGUUGUGAAAUGUUGGGUUAAGUCCCGCAACGAGCGCAACCCUUAUCCUUUGUUGCCAGCGGUCCGGCCGGGAACUCAAAGGAGACUGCCAGUGAUAAACUGGAGGAAGGUGGGGACGACGUCAAGUCAUCAUGGCCCUUACGACCAGGGCUACACACGUGCUACAAUGGCGCAUACAAAGAGAAGCGACCUCGCGAGAGCAAGCGGACCUCAUAAAGUGCGUCGUAGUCCGGAUUGGAGUCUGCAACUCGACUCCAUGAAGUCGGAAUCGCUAGUAAUCGUGGAUCAGAAUGCCACGGUGAAUACGUUCCCGGGCCUUGUACACACCGCCCGUCACACCAUGGGAGUGGGUUGCAAAAGAAGUAGGUAGCUUAACCUUCGGGAGGGCGCUUACCACUUUG
rnacentral:rRNA from 1 species